UUUUUGUGUGUGUGUAUAAAAUGUUCAAAAGAACAGCAUUUAUUUGAAACAGAAGUUUUUGGUAACAUUACAAAU